CCCUUAGAUGUCCUGGGCCGCACGCGCGUUACACUGAUGCAUUCAACGAGCUUAUAACCUUGGCCGAGAGGCCUGGGCAAUCUUGUUAACGUGCAUCGUGAUAGGGAUAGAUUAUUGAAAUUAUUAAUCUUGAACGAGGAAUUCCUAGUAAACGCAGAUCAUCAAUCUGCAUUGAUUACGUCCCUGCCCUUUGAACACACCGCCCGUCGCACCUACCGAUUGGAUGGUCCGGUGAAGCCUCGGGAUUGUGGUUCUUGCCGCUUUAUUGUGGCGUGACCGCGAGAACUUGUCUAAACCUUAUCAUCUAGAGGAAGGUGAAGUCGUAACA
rnacentral:rRNA from 1 species